rnacentral:rRNA from 1 species
AUUGAACGCUGGCGGCAGGCCUAACACAUGCAAGUAGAACGAGUGGCGGACGGGUGAGUAAUGUCUGGGAAACUGCCUGAUGGAGGGGGAUAACUACUGGAAACGGUAGCUAAUACCGCAUACCAUCGGAUGUGCCCAGAUGGGAUUAGCUAGUAGGUGGGGUAAAGGCUCACCUAGGCGACGAUCCCUAGCUGGUCUGAGAGGAUGACCACCCACAUGGGAACUGAGAAACGGUCAGGACUCCUACGGGAGGCAGCAGUGGGGAAUAUGGCACAAGGGGCGCAAGCCUGAUGCAGCCAUGCCGCGUGUAUGAAGAAGGCCUUCGGGUUGUAAAGUACGUUCAGCGGGGAGGCGUUACCCGAAGAAGAAGCACCGGCUAACUCCGUGCCAGCAGCCGCGGUAAUUC